GGGGCCGCCCUGGUUUCGACGGGGAUGAUGAGGCCAAAGUUGCAGGUCGAGGUGCUGGGAGGUCCUCGUCAAAACCCAGCAGAAACAUAAUUG
rnacentral:tmRNA from 1 species